GAGCAAAGACCUAUUGAAGCUCUCUAUAUCCUAAAAUGGAAGCAGAACUCUUAGACAGAGAAAACUGGUGCUGGGCGGCUUGUGUAUACACCUCUGGUGAGAACGUCUCACACGCUACUGCAGUCUCUCUCGCUGGCCCAGGAGGCGCCUGGGGACCCGGACUGUGUCUUGCUCACUCAGACACUCUCAGUGCCUUGCACAACGCCUGGAAUCACAGGCUUUAUGGCACCUUUGAAGAAACAAAAGCUUUACAGAGAAAAGGCCGGCUUGGCAGCGGAGUCUGCCCCCCAGCUCCCCUUCAGCUCACUUUCCUAUGUUCCUGGAGUCUUUCUCUGUUGAAACAAACAAAACACUCAUAGGUGCCAUAUUGAGGCUCCA